UACGGGGGGGCAAGGCGUUGUUCGGAAUUACGUGGGCGUAAAAGGGCUCGUAGGCGGCCAACUAAGUCAGACGUGAAAUCCCUCGGCUUAACCGGGGAACUGCGUCUGAAUACUGAAUGGCUUGGAGUUCGGGAGAGGGUAGUGGAAUUCCCGGUGUAGUGGUGAAAUGCGUAGAUAUCGGGAGGAACACCAGUGGCGGAAGGCGACUACCUGGCCUGUUCUUGACGCUGAGGCGCGAAAGCUAGGGGAAGCAAACGGGG
rnacentral:rRNA from 1 species